UACAGAGGUGGCAAGCGUUGUUCGGAAUUACUGGGCGUAAAGGGCGCGUAGGCGGCCCGUCAAGUCUCGUGUGAAAGCCCCCGGCUCAACCGGGGAACGGCGCGGGAAACUAGCAGGCUUGAGUUCGGGAGAGGGAAGCGGAAUUCCGGGUGUAGCGGUGAAAUGCGCAGAUAUCGGGAGGAACACCGGUGGCGAAGGCGGUUCUCUGGGCCUUACCUGACGCUGAGGAGCGAAAGCGUGGGGAGCGAACAGG
rnacentral:rRNA from 1 species